UACGAAGGGGGCUAGCGUUGUUCGGAAUCACUGGGCGUAAAGCGCUCGUAGGCGGAUCUUUAAGUCAGGGGUGAAAUCCCGAGGCUCAACCUCGGAACUGCCUUUGAUACUGGGGAUCUCGAGUCCGGGAGAGGUGAGUGGAACUGCGAGUGUAGAGGUGAAAUUCGUAGAUAUUCGCAAGAACACCAGUGGCGAAGGCGGCUCACUGGCCCGGAACUGACGCUGAGGAGCGGAAAAGCGUGGGG
rnacentral:rRNA from 1 species